rnacentral:rRNA from 1 species
GGUUACUGCUAUCGGGGUCCGAUUAAGCCAUGCGAGUUGAGAGGGGUAAGCCCUCGGCAUACUGCUCAGUAACACGCGGACAACCUGCCCUUGGGUCUGGGAUAACCCCGGGAAACUGGGACUAAUACCGGAUAGAUCAGAGAUACUGGAAUGUUUUCUGGUCCAAAACUCCGGUGCCCAAGGAUGGGUCUGCGGCCUAUCAGGUAGUAGUGGGUGUAACGUACCUACUAGCCAGCGACGGGUAAGGGUUGUGAGAGCAAGAUCCCUGAGAUGGAUUCUGAGACAUGAAUCCAGGCCCUACGGGGUGCAGCAGGCGCGAAAACUUUACACUGCGGGAAACCGCGAUAAGGGGACCCCGAGUGCCAGCACCUAGUGCUGGCUGUCCUACUGUCUAAAUAACAGUGGUUAGCAAGGGCCGGGCAAGACCGGUGCCAGCCGCCGCGGUAACACCGGCGGCCCGAGUGGUAACCGACUUUAUUGGGUUUAAAGGGUCCGUAGCCGGCUUACUAAGUCUUUUGGGAAAUCUGGCGGCUCAAUCGUCAGGCGUCCAAGAGAUACUGGUAGGCUUGGGACCGGGAGAGGUGGGAGGUACUCCAGGGGUAGGGGUGAAAUCUCGUAAUCCUUGGGGGACCACCGAUGGCGAAGGCAUCCCACCAGAACGGGUCCGACGGUGAGGGACGAAAGCUGGGGGCACGAACCGGAUUAGAUACCCGGGUAGUCCCAGCUGUAAACGAUGCUCGCUAGGUGUCAGGUGCGGUGCGACCGCAUCUGGUGCCGCAGUGAAAACUUGAAGCGAGUCACCUGGGAAGUACGGUCGCAAGGCUGAAGCUUAAAGGAAUUGGCGGGGGAGCACUACAACGGGUGGAGCCUGCGGUUC